UACAGAGGGUGCAAGCGUUAAUCGGAUUUACUGGGCGUAAAGCGCGCGUAGGUGGCCAAUUAAGUCAAAUGUGAAAUCCCCGAGCUUAACUUGGGAAUUGCAUUCGAUACUGGUUGGCUAGAGUAUGGGAGAGGAUGGUAGAAUUCCAGGUGUAGCGGUGAAAUGCGUAGAGAUCUGGAGGAAUACCGAUGGCGAAGGCAGCCAUCUGGCCUAAUACUGACACUGAGGUGCGAAAGCAAGGGGAGCAAACAGG
rnacentral:rRNA from 1 species